ACCCUUGUUACUGAAAUAUGCACAAGCUCACUUCCCUCAUGGAUGUACAGUACAGUCAUUGUUUAAACAUGGACCAGUUAGAGGGAGGUUUCACCAUGUAUUAUACCAGUCCUGUAUUGUUUAAACAUGGACCAGUUAGAGGGAGGUUUCACCAUGUAUUAUACCAGUCCUGUAUUGUUUAAACAUGGACCAGUUAGAGGGAGGUUUCACCAUGUAUUAUACCAGUCCUGUAUUGUUUAAACAUGGACCAGUUAGAGGGAGGUUUCACCAUGUAUUAUACCAGUCCUGUAUUGUUUAAACAUGGACCAGUUAGAGGGAGGUUUCACCAUGUAUUAUACCAGUCCUGUAUUGUUUAAACAUGGACCAGUUAGAGGGAGGUUUCACCAUGUAUUAUACCAGUCCUGUAUUGUUUAAACAUGGACCAGUUAGAGGGAGGUUUCACCAUGUAUUAUACCAGUCCUGUAUUGUUUAAACAUGGACCAGUUAGAGGGAGGUUUCACCAUGUAUUAUACCAGUCCUGUAUUGUUUAAACAUGGACCAGUUAGAGGGAGGUUUCACCAUGUAUUAUACCAGUCCUGUAUUGUUUAAACAUGGACCAGUUAGAGGGAGGUUUCACCAUGUAUUAUACCAGUCCUGUAUUGUUUAAACAUGGACCAGUUAGAGGGAGGUUUCACCAUGUAUUAUACCAGUCCUGUAUUGUUUAAACAUGGACCAGUUAGAGGGAGGUUUCACCAUGUAUUAUACCAGUCCUGUAUUGUUUAAACAUGGACCAGUUAGAGGGAGGUUUCACCAUGUAUUAUACCAGUCUAGUCCUGUAUUGUUUAAACAUGGACCAGUUAGAGGGAGGUUUCACCAUGUAUUAUACCAGUCUAGUCCUGUAUUGUUUAAACAUGGACCAGUUAGAGGGAGGUUUCACCAUGUAUUAUACCAGUCUAGUCCUGUAUUGUUUAAACAUGGACCAGUUAGAGGGAGGUUUCACCAUGUAUUAUACCAGUCCUGUAUUGUUUAAACAUGGACCAGUUAGAGGGAGGUUUCACCAUGUAUUAUACCAGUCCUGUAUUGUUUAAACAUGGACCAGUUAGAGGGAGGUUUCACCAUGUAUUAUACCAGUCCUGUAUUGUUUAAACAUGGACCAGUUAGAGGGAGGUUUCACCAUGUAUUAUACCAGUCCUGUAUUGUUUAAACAUGGACCAGUUAGAGGGAGGUUUCACCAUGUAUUAUACCAGUCCUGUAUUGUUUAAACAUGGACCAGUUAGAGGGAGGUUUCACCAUGUAUUAUACCAGUCCUGUAUUGUUUAAACAUGGACCAGUUAGAGGGAGGUUUCACCAUGUAUUAUACCAGUCCUGUAUUGUUUAAACAUGGACCAGUUAGAGGGAGGUUUCACCAUGUAUUAUACCAGUCCUGUAUUGUUUAAACAUGGACCAGUUAGAGGGAGGUUUCACCAUGUAUUAUACCAGUCCUGUAUUGUUUAAACAUGGACCAGUUAGAGGGAGGUUUCACCAUGUAUUAUACCAGUCCUGUAUUGUUUAAACAUGGACCAGCUACUGUAAGUCGAUCUGGAUAAGAUCGUCUGCUAAAUUACAAAAAAUGGCACUGUAAAAUGUUCUGAGGGUGAGUGAGAGAAUGAGUGUACACUUUAGCGAGAAUAAGUGUAAAGAUUGGGACAAAACAGCAGCCUGGUUUGGAUAUAGGCAGUCUUUCCCUAUAUCCUCUCUCUUCCUGCUUUCCUCCAUGUUACUGUCAACAUCCCAAAUGGCACCAUAUUCCCUAUAUAGUGCACUACUUUGGGCCAAAGCCUUAUGGGCCCUGGUCAAACGUAGUGCAGUAUAUAGGGGAUAGGGUGCCAUUGGAGACACACCGUUGGAGUGUGCUGUGAGGUAGUGUGUGUGGAAUGUGUGUGUAAUGUGGUGUUGAUAUUAUUAGGGCCACAAGCUGACCUACAGCCUUGUCUGUCUGAGAGCUGGGACUAUCUACAUGUCACACUGAAUUCCAUUCCAUCUACAUUGCUUCCUGAGA